rnacentral:lncRNA from 1 species
AAAAAUCCUUAAUAAUUAUCUUAAUAUAAUUAAAAUUAAAAUAGAGUCUUGCGCUAUAAAAUCUCUUCUUUUGCAUUUUAGUCCUUGGGUCUUCCAUGUUUGCAUUUUUGGCACCACUUCUCUCUUUCUUUGCAUGUUGGCCCAUUAUAUCUUCAAAUUCGUACUUUUUUCCUUUAAAUUUCCUCUCGCCUCCAAUUUAGUCCCUAAAAGAUAAAAGACUACAAAAUAAUCUAAAUUAGUAGGAUCAUACUCAAAAUAAUCAUGCAAUUAGCACAUAAAAUAUGUCGUUCUAGAGUAUUAUCA